UUGGAGGGCAAGUCUGGUGCCAGCAGCCGCGGUAAUUCCAGCUCCAAUAGCGUAUAUUAAAGUUGUUGCAGUUAAAAAGCUCGUAGUUGAACUUCGGGAUCAAGGGAUCGGUCAUGCCUUGGUAUGUACUGGUCUUAUUGGUUCUCACCUUCUAAAGAACCAUAAUGUCAUUCAUUUGAUGUUAUGGGGAAUUAGGACUGUUACCUUGAAAAAAUUAGAGUGUUUAAAGCAGGCUUACGCUUGAAUACAUUAGCAUGGAAUAAUGAAAUAGGACAUCCGAUUCUAUUUUGUUGGUUUCUAGGAUCGAUGUAAUGAUUAAUAGGGAUAGUUGGGGGCAUUAGUAUUCAAUUGUCAGAGGUGAAAUUCUUGGAUUUAUUGAAGACUAACUACUGCGAAAGCAUUUGCCAAGGAUGUUUUCAUUAAUCAAGAACGAAAGUUAGGGGAUCGAAGGCGAUCAGAUACCGUCGUAGUCUUAACCAUAAACUAUGCCGACUAGGGAUCGGAUGAUGUUAAUUUUUUAAUGACUCAUUCGGCGCCUUACGGGAAAC
rnacentral:rRNA from 1 species